GACGAACGCUGGCGGCGUGCCUAAUACAUGCAAGUCGAGCGAAGCGGCGGAGGGGUGAGAACUGCGUGGGGAACCUGCCCUAAAGUCUGGAAUACCAUUUGGAAACAGAUACUAAUACAGGAUAAUAAAGGAGGGAGCUGGGAUGCAUUAGCUAGUUGGUAAGGUAACGGCUUACCAAGGCGAGGAUGCCUAGCUGAGUUGAGAGAAUGACCGGCCACACUGGGACUGAGACACGGCCCAGACUCCGACGGGAGGCAGCAGUAGGGAAUAGUCCACAAUGGACGAAAGUCUGAUGGAGCAAUGCCGCGUGAAUGAAGAAGGUUUUCGGAUCGUAAAGCUCUGUUGUUGGUGAAGCGUUAAUCAACCAGAAAGUCACGGCUAACUACGUGCCAGCAGCCGCGGUAAUAC
rnacentral:rRNA from 1 species